UGGUGGAGUGAUUUGUCUGGUUAAUUCCGAUAACGAACGAGACCUUAACCUGCUAAAUAGCCCGGCCGACUUUGGUUGGUCGCUGGCUUCUUAGAGGGACUAUCGGCGUCUAGCCGAUGGAAGUUUGAGGCAAUAACA
rnacentral:rRNA from 1 species